rnacentral:snRNA from 1 species
UUAUUUUUAACACUAUCUUAAUAAAAUUCUUAAAUCUGUUCUUAUCCGUGUAAUAUCUGAUCUGUUCUCUAUCUGAGAACGUUAUAUUAAAUGGCUUGUUGGAACAGGGAGUUGGAAUAGGAGCUUGCUCCAUCCACUCCACGCAUCACCCAAGCAGCCUCC